rnacentral:rRNA from 1 species
GCUGGAAUUGCUAGUAAUGGCAGGUCAGCAUACUGCCGUGAAUACGUUCCCGGGCCUUGUACACACCGCCCGUCACACCAUGAGAGUUGGAAAUACCCGAAGCCUGUGAGCUAACAGUAAUGAGGCAGCAGUCGAAGGUAGAGCCAAUGAUUGGGGUGAAGUCGUAACAAGGUAUC